rnacentral:rRNA from 1 species
AACGAACGCUGGCGGCGUGCCUAACACAUGCAAGUCGAACGUGAUUGGAAGCUUGCUUCCAUGAAAGUGGCGCACGGGUGAGUAACGCGUAGAUAAUCUACCUGAUGAUUCGGGAUAACACUUCGAAAGGGGUGCUAAUACCGGAUAAGCCCACGGAGUCCUUGGACACUGCGGGAAAAGGGGGGGACCUUUUGGCCUUCCGUCAUCAGAUGAGUCUGCGUACCAUUAGCUAGUUGGUAGGGUAAAGGCCUACCAAGGCGGCGAUGGUUAGCUGGUCUGAGAGGAUGAUCAGCCACACUGGAACGGAGACACGGUCCAGACUCCUACGGGAGGCAGCAGUGGGGAAUUUUGCGCAAUGGGGGAAACCCUGACGCAGCAACGCCGCGUGAGUGAUGAAGGCCCUUGGGUCGUAAAGCUCUGACAGAGGGAAAGAAAUGCAGGGAGGUUAAUACCCUUUUUGCUUGACGGUACCCUCAAAGGAAGCACCGGCUAACUCCGUGCCAGCAGCCGCAGUAACAC